GUCCUAGCAGUAAACGAUGGCCACUAGGUGUGGGGGUGUUGACCCCUUCCGUGCCGAAGCUAACGCAUUAAGUGGCCCGCCUGGGGAGUACGGUCGCAAGACUAAAACUCAAAGGAAUUGACGGGGACCCGCACAAGCAGCGGAGCGUGUGGUUUAAUUCGAUGCGACGCGAAGAACCUUACCAAGGCUUGACAUGUGUUCGCAACUCUUGGAAACAAGAGCCUCCGCAAGGACGGAUACACAGAUGCUGCAUGGCUGUCGU
rnacentral:rRNA from 1 species